GACGAACGCUGGCGGCGUGCUUAACACAUGCAAGUCGAACGGAAAGGCCCUGCGUUUGUGGGUUUCUCGAUUGGGGAACGGGGGAGUAACACGUGAGUAACCUGCCCUUGACUUUGGGGUAACUUCAGGAAACUGGGGCUAAUACCGGAUAGGAGCUCCUGCUGCGUGGUGGGGGUUGGAGAGUUUCGGCGGUGGGGGAUGGACUCGCGGGUUAUGAGCUUGUUGGUGGGGUAGUGGCUUACCACGGCUUUGACGGGUAGCCGGCCUGAGAGGGUGACCGGCCACCUUGGGCCUGAGAUACGGACCAGACUCGUACGGGAGGCAGCAGUGGGGAAUAUUGCACAAUGGGCGGAAGCCUGAUGCAGCAACGUCGCGUGCGGGAUGACGGCCUUCGGGUUGUAAACCGCUUUCGCCUGUGACGAAGCGUGCGUGACGGUAAUGGGUAAAGAAGCACCGGCUAACUACGUG
rnacentral:rRNA from 1 species